CCUACGGGUGGCUGCAGUGGGGAAUUUUGGACAAUGGGGGAAACCCUGAUCCAGCCAUGCCGCGUGCGGGAAGAAGGCCUUCGGGUUGUAAACCGCUUUUGUCAGGGACGAAACGGCUUGGGUGAAUAUCCCGGGCUAAUGACGGUACCUGAAGAAUAAGCACCGGCUAACUACGUGCCAGCAGCCGCGGUAAUACGUAGGGUGCAAGCGUUAAUCGGAAUUACUGGGCGUAAAGCGUGCGCAGGCGGCUUUGUAAGACAGAUGUGAAAUCCCCG
rnacentral:rRNA from 1 species